AUGAACGCUGGCGGCGUGCCUAAUACAUGCAAGUCGAGCGAACAGACGAGGAGCUUGCUCCUCUGACGUUAGCGGCGGACGGGUGAGUAACACGUGGAUAACCUACCUAUAAGACUGGGAUAACUUCGGGAAACCGGAGCUAAUACCGGAUAAUAUAUUGAACCGCAUGGUUCAAUAGUGAAAGACGGUUUUGCUGUCACUUAUAGAUGGAUCCGCGCCGCAUUAGCUAGUUGGUAAGGUAACGGCUUACCAAGGCAACGAUGCGUAGCCGACCUGAGAGGGUGAUCGGCCACACUGGAACUGAGACACGGUCCAGACUCCUACGGGAGGCAGCAGUAGGGAAUCUUCCGCAAUGGGCGAAAGCCUGACGGAACAACGCCGCGUGAGUGAUGAAGGUCUUCGGAUCGUAAAACUCUGUUAUUAGGGAAGAACAAAUGUGUAAGUAACUAUGCACGUCUUGACGGUACCUAAUCAGAAAGCCACGGCUAACUACGUG
rnacentral:rRNA from 1 species